AUGUGGUCCAUUGAUUAAUGGAGAUUAUGGAAUACAUAUUUGCUCAAAAUGUAUUGAUUCACAACAUAAUUUGUCAUUCUCAAAGCAAGUUGACUCAACAACCCCAAUUCAUUUCUGUCUGCCUGUGUAUCCCUAAGUCCAACUCGACAUAACUCUCUCCUCUCCACAUCUUCAUGGAUUAAAAAUCAUUUGACUAGUAGAAGCGGAAAAGUAUUAGUGCACGACUUUCCUUCUCGUGAAUAGUAUGCACCUGAAAAAAACACUUCUUGUUUCAUACUCUCUCUCCUUGUCCUACACACAUCUUCUGCAGCUAUGAUCACAAAGAACACUCGUUGUUUCAUUUUCUCCAUGUUGUUUUUCCUAUGUUUCUAUAUUAACAUCAAUCUUUCCCUUGGAGGUGACAGCAUUAGAGCAAACAAAUCUCUCUCUGGAAAACAGACAAUCGUGUCUUCUGGUGGGACUUUUGAACUGGGAUUCUUCAAACCAGGUACUUCUUCCAGUUAUUAUAUAGGAAUUUGGUACAAAAAUAUUAGUCCAAUGACCAUAGUUUGGGUAGCAAAUAGGGAGACACCCAUUUCAGACAUGAACUCUGCAGAACUUAAGAUUUUACAUGGGAAUUUGGUGCUUAUGGAUGAGUCCCAGGUUUCAAUUUGGUCUACAAAUGUAAACUUGACAACCUCAGAUUCUGUAGUGGCAACUCUAGGAACAAGGACACGUUGCAAAUUGAAACCAAAAAUUCCUCAAAUAGGUUGGAGGGAGACAACAAGAGUGGUGUCAGUGUUCCUUUCUGCAGUUGGGAAAGUAUAAUAGCUGCUACCGAAAACUUCUCAGACAUACAAAACUUGGACGUGGGGGAUUUGGUCUUGUUUACAAGGGAAUGUUUCCUGGAAGGCAAGAAAUUGCAGUGAAAAGGUUGUCAAGCUGUUCUUUGCAAGGCAUUAACGAAUUUCAAAAUGAAAUUGUAUUGAUAGCAAAGCUUCAACAUCGAAACCUCGUUCGCCUUUUGGGCUACUGCAUGAAGGAGAAUGAAAAGAUCUGACUCUAUGAAUACAUGCCCAACAAAAGUUUGGAUGCCUUUAUAUUUGAUAAAAAAUUAUGUACGUUACUAAACUGGAAGAAGCGGUUUGACAUCAUCAUAGGGAUAGCAAGAGGGGUUAUUUAUCUUCAUCAAGAUUCAAGGUUAAGGAUAAUUCAUAAAUAUUUGAAAACAAGCAACAUUCUGUUAGACGGAGAGAUGAACCCCAAAAUUUCAGACUAUGGUUUGGCAAUAAUUGUUGUGGGCAAAGGAACAGAGGCAAGCACCAAUAAAGUCAUAGGAACUUAGUAAGUGUCACUUAAAAUGAUAUAAUUACACCGAGACUACUGAAAGCACGAAAAAAAUUAAACUUUUCAUAUCUUAUAUGAUUGUAAUGAUCUUGUACAUAUACUCUUC